AACGAACGCUGGCGGCAGGCUUAACACAUGCAAGUCGAGCGCCUCGCAAGGGGAGCGGCAGACGGGUGAGUAACGCGUGGGAAUCUACCGAGCCCUAAGGAAUAGCUCCGGGAAACUGGAAUUAAUACCUUAUACGCCCUUUUGGGGAAAGAUUUAUCGGGGUUUGAUGAGCCCGCGUUGGAUUAGCUAGUUGGUGGGGUAAAGGCCUACCAAGGCGACGAUCCAUAGCUGGUCUGAGAGGAUGAUCAGCCACAUUGGGACUGAGACACGGCCCAAACUCCUACGGGAGGCAGCAGUGGGGAAUAUUGGACAAUGGGCGCAAGCCUGAUCCAGCCAUGCCGCGUGAGUGAUGAAGGCCUUAGGGUUGUAAAGCUCUUUCACCGGUGAAGAUAAUGACGGUAACCGGAGAAGAAGCCCCGGCUAACUUCGUGCCAGCCGCCGCCGUAAAAC
rnacentral:rRNA from 1 species